AUAUUUUAAAACAAUAAUGCCUUCUUAAUAUCUUCAAUAUUAUACUUUAUAUAAGCUAUUAAAAUA
rnacentral:tRNA from 1 species